rnacentral:rRNA from 1 species
UGACUUGUGGCUGGGGGUGAAAGGCCAAUCAAACCGGGAGAUAGCUGGUUCUCCCCGAAAGCUAUUUAGGUAGCGCCUCGUGAAUUCAUCUCCGGGGGUAGAGCACUGUUUCGGCAAGGGGGUCAUCCCGACUUACCAACCCGAUGCAAACUGCGAAUACCGGAGAAUGUUAUCACGGGAGACACACGGCGGGUGCUAACGUCCGUCGUGAAGAGGGAAACAACCCAGACCGCCAGCUAAGGUCCCAAAGUCAUGGUUAAGUGGGAAACGAUGUGGGAAGGCCCAGACAGCCAGGAUGUUGGCUUAGAAGCAGCCAUCAUUUAAAGAAAGCGUAAUAGCUCACUGGUCGAGUCGGCCUGCGCGGAAGAUGUAACGGGGCUAAACCAUGCACCGAAGCUGCGGCAGCGACGCUGAUGCGUUGUUGGGUAGGGGAGCGUUCUGUAAGCCUGCGAAGGUGUGCUGUGAGGCAUGCUGGAGGUAUCAGAAGUGCGAAUGCUGACAUAAGUAACGAUAAAGCGGGUGAAAAGCCCGCUCGCCGGAAGACCAAGGGUUCCUGUCCAACGUUAAUCGGGGCAGGGUGAGUCGACCCCUAAGGCGAGGCCGAAAGGCGUAGUCGAUGGGAAACAGGUUAAUAUUCCUGUACUUGGUGUUACUGCGAAGGGGGGACGGAGAAGGCUAUGUUGGCCGGGCGACGGUUGUCCCGGUUUAAGCGUGUAGGCUGGUUUUCCAGGCAAAUCCGGAAAAUCAAGGCUGAGGCGUGAUGACGAGGCACUACGGUGCUGAAGCAACAAAUGCCCUGCUUCCAGGAAAAGCCUCUAAGCAUCAGGUAACAUCAAAUCGUACCCCAAACCGACACAGGUGGUCAGGUAGAGAAUACCAAGGCGCUUGAGAGAACUCGGGUGAAGGAACUAGGCAAAAUGGUGCCGUAACUUCGGGAGAAGGCACGCUGAUAUGUAGGUGAAGCGACUUGCUCGUGGAGCUGAAAUCAGUCGAAGAUACCAGCUGGCUGCAACUGUUUAUUAAAAACACAGCACUGUGCAAACACGAAAGUGGACGUAUACGGUGUGACGCCUGCCCGGUGCCGGAAGGUUAAUUGAUGGGGUUAGCGCAAGCGAAGCUCUUGAUCGAAGCCCCGGUAAACGGCGGCCGUAACUAUAACGGUCCUAAGGUAGCGAAAUUCCUUGUCGGGUAAGUUCCGACCUGCACGAAUGGCGUAAUGAUGGCCAGGCUG